AAGUCGUAACAAGGUAACCGUAGGUGAACCUGCGGUUGGAUCAUUAACAAAUUGAAAGAAUUUGCUGAAAAGCACUUUCUCAACAUUAUGUGAAUCGUUUAUUGUCUCUUGGUGGGUUGUUCAAUUUCUAGAUCUUUUCUUUUUUUUUAAGAACUAGAAAACGCCGCCAAAUUUUUAACUUGAACUUUUAUGAAUUUAAAUAAAUCGUCUUGAAUUAAAUUAUAUUCUAAUUUAAACAACUUUUGACAACGGAUCUCUAGGCUCUC
rnacentral:misc_RNA from 1 species